UGUGUACUUGAAUACCAACAACAAAGUCGAAAAGGUGGACACGACGAGAAACAAAAGCUUCAUUGAGACGAAGAAUGAGUGGCUUGCGUCGACAAAACUGAGGAGGCCAGGCACCUCCCGCUUUGACUGGUGGUCACCAACUGGUGUCUGGGGAGAUGACGGAGAUGCUCGCCUGGCCGCUGGCUUGGGGUCGUCCCGCUCCCACGGAAACGCAGCCAAGGGAGUGGAAAAAGGGUCGGAUGGGUGGCUGCGUGGUGUGGCCUUGUGUAGCCGCGGCAACGAAGUAGACGGGGUGUCAGGGAACUGGAGCCGCUGAUGAAACAUGCGGCACAGAUUACAAAGAGAACAUUUGCCGACAAAGUAAAUCCUCCCAACAUUUGAAGCAUAUGCACAAUA